AUGGUUAUAUAUAUGUAUGAUUGUAUGCAUUAUGGAUGGUUUCACUUGGUUUUAUAAAUGACAUUAUUAUAUCCUUAUCCUUAGUUCAUGCUAGUGAUCACUCGCUAACCCAUUUUCGGGCAGCUGUAUACCACACUAUGUAAGAACAAGCCAUUUAACUCCUCUGGUUUAGCAUUUGGGCUUCGGUAUCAACACUUGGAUUGAAGUGAUGAGCUUU
rnacentral:lncRNA from 1 species